CCUACGGGGGGCUGCAGUGAGGAAUAUUGGUCAAUGGACGAGAGUCUGAACCAGCCAAGUAGCGUGAAGGAUGACUGCCCUAUGGGUUGUAAACUUCUUUUAUAUGGGAAUAAAACGUUCCACGUGUGGGAUUUUGUAUGUACCAUAUGAAUAAGGAUCGGCUAACUCCGUGCCAGCAGCCGCGGUAAUACGGAGGAUCCGAGCGUUAUCCGGAUUUAUUGGGUUUAAAGGGAGCGUAGGUGGAUUGUUAAGUCAGUUGUGAAAGUUUGCGGCUCAACCGUAAAAUUGCAGUUGAAACUGGCAGUCUUGAGUACAGUAGAGGUGGGCGGAAUUCGUGGUGUAGCGGUGAAAUGCUUAGAUAUCACGAAGAACUCCGAUUGUGAAGGCAGUUCACUGGACUGCAACUGACACUGAGGCUCGAAAGUGUGGGUAUCAAACAGGAUUAGAUACCCCAGUAGUC
rnacentral:rRNA from 1 species